UUUACAUUUUGUAGACCGAAAUUGUCUGAUAAUGUAAUUCUACUUGGGAUUAAUUGGUGUGUUUAAAUUAAGUAAUGAUCAAAUGUGAAGUGACCCAUUCACGUGACAUUGACCGAUGUUGUGUCAGGCCAGAUUAACCAUGCCCAUGUUUGUCCUGUGUCAGUGACCAUGUGAUUCUUUGGCCAUGCCCAGGAGGGAGUGACUGAGUUAUGGGGUGCAGAAGAAGCACAAGCCAUCUCGACAUGAUGAAUCAUCCCCAACAGCGCUUGAGGAUGGUUUCCUGCUCAAUGAGGAUGAAUCCAUAACUGAGAACUGAGGAUGAUACUUCUCUCAACACUGCAUUGUAUGAAGACAAAGCAACUCAGUGUGGUUAGUCAUCGUCAACAACAGAACCAGACUAAGCUGACGUUGGAGACUGUCAAGUUGAGAUCACUGUGCCUAUCAGGGUUGAGUGUUACAUACUGAACGAAGUGAUCCAAAGCAAUUUAUUGUCAAUACGCACGCUAGAGACCUGGACAUUCGCUUUUUACAUUCAGAUCAAAGCAUGGCAAAACAUAUUUAAGGAUGAAAGUAUGUGUUAAUGAAGCAGGACACACUACUGAACAUGUUCAUGGUUAGGAAGUUGCCCAGAACCAUUUUUUGUGGGAACAAAUUUCUAGUGAUUAUCUUUUUGCCCUUUAGCUCACCUGAGCACAAUGUGCUAAUGGUGAGCUUUUUUGAUCGCCUUUUGGCAGUCGUGGAGUGCGUGUUGUGUGGCGUCAACAUUUGCCUUGUAAACAAUCUUGAGGCCACAUUAAUUGUCCAAACUUCAUGAAAUUUGGUCAGAACAUUUUUCCAAAUGAAAUCUUGGACAAGUUAAAAAAUUGUUCCGGUUUAUUGUCCGUCAUCAUGAAACUUGGUCAGAAGAUUUGUCAAAAUGAUAUCUUGGGCAAGUUCAAAAAUGGUUC